UAAACCCCCAUACCAGCCUGAAGGCUUUUCUUGAUUUUAACAGAUAUUCUCCCAAUAACUUUGACCAGCUUCUCUGGUCCUGCUGGCUUCCUCAUGGUGGGCUGCAGCUCCAAGGGGGUCUGCUCAUGUGGCAGCUACACUGAGUACAUCUGGUGCUAAUGAGCUGAUGGACCCCGACACUACCAGCAGCAUUGUUUCACUGUUCUGAUUGUGUGUUUAAUAUUGGCCUCAAUUACCCAGAACAUCUUCUUCCACAUAUUACCUGUAGGGCUUGUGGGAGAUAUUAAAUGGACUUAACAUGACACUCUGUCAUUCUCUAAGUGAAUAGCAAAACAAAAAGUUAGUUGCAGUAAUGUCUGAAAACAGGCACAAAGUGAUUAAAGAAAGUAAAACUUCCAGACCCUCUACCUGCACCUCAAAAUCCAAAAGGUUUCCUUUGGCCAGUCUUAAUCUCUUGGAAGUGUCAUUUUUGAUCAGAUGUGGCCUUUUUAUUGCAGGCUGAAACAAGAUAAUUAGAUGAAAGAGGUUGUAAAACUUAUCCACCUCCUGAAGGAAAGGAAGGAAAGUUUCAACUCAUUCAUGGACCUCAUAAGAAAGUUCUCUGUCUCUAUCUCUAAUGGCUGUCAUUUCUGGGAUUCAACAGCUCAUGUAACCAGCCCAAUGGUCUUUAAUUGAGCUUUAGAUUUUUAAAGUUUGAUUUACAUACACAUUAUGCCAUUUUUUUUUAUCUUCAUACAGACUUUGCAUUGAUUUCCAUUCAUUUAUCAUUCAUUUAUAUGGCCUAACUUACUCCUUAUUCCUAACCAUUACUAGUACAUGCUAAACCUUAAACCUAACCUAAAAUCAAUUCAUGCCUUCGUCCAAAACCUAACUCCAAAAUGGCUUUAAUUUUCUUGUAAUGGGUUCUGGGCUUUGGGCCCCAUAAGGAGCGAUAAGUCCUCACUAUUUUAGUAUUUGUUUGAAAAAUUUUAUUUUUUAGGUGAGAAAUCCUAUAAACACACAAGUUUCUAUUUCUACCCAUAUUAGGACUUUGUAUUGACAUAUAUUUUCCUCUUGAGCUUCAAAUAUCAUAUGUACAUUUCAGACUAAUAAUUUCAGAAAUGUCCCUUGGUAUAAAUGCUCUAUUAGUGUUAGAACUGUAAAUAUCUUUUUUCCCAUAUAUACUCAUCAUUAACUUUAAGAACUGCGAGAUUCUUUUAUUUACUUCUCCUAUGUGUGUUUUUGUGAGAGAUGUCUGCAGGAAACUGAUAAGCGUGCCAGAUUGGAAGCAGAUACCAGUCACUCUGGAGCCAUAACUAAGAGCUGCUCUUAGUAAAACACCUAAAGGCUAAAGGUCAACGGUUAUGACCUAGGGACAUGAGAACUGCUUGAGACCUCACAUGCAUUAAGACAGGAGAUUCAUUGUAUAGAAAAGAUUUAUGACUGUGUGUUAGCAGUUGGGUUUUUUAUCUGCCCCUCCCUCCUUCAUCAUCUGGUAACUUGUCUGUGUAACCAGGGUUUCCCCAAUGAUCAAUAAAAGGAGGAGAAGCAAGAGAGGAUUUUUAGAGCGAGUUUGGAGACUGUGAAAAUCAGACCCUCCUCUUGCUCUCCUCGCAAGUAAAAUCCAAUUUAUUUGUCUCUCUCUUCUUUUUUUAAGUUUGUGAUGCUGA